UACGUAGGGCGCAAGCGUUAUCCGGAAUUAUUGGGCGUAAAGAGCUCGUAGGCGGUUUGUCGCGUCUGCUGUGAAAACCCGGGGCUCAACCCCGGGCCUGCAUUCGAUACGGGCAGACUAGAGUUCGGUAGGGGAGUCUGGAAUUCCUGGUGUAGCGGUGAAAUGCGCAGAUAUCAGGAGGAACACCGGUGGCGAAGGCGGGACUCUGGGCCGAUACUGACGCUGAGGAGCGAAAGCGUGGGGAGCAAACAGG
rnacentral:rRNA from 1 species